AUACGUAGGGAGCGAGCGUUGUCCGGAAUUACUGGGCGUAAAGGGCGCGUAGGCGGCGCUUCAAGUCGUCUGUCAAAUGGAAGGGCUUGGCCCUUUUUCGCAGACGAAACUGGAGAGCUUGAGAAGCAGAGAGGCAAACAGAAUUCCUGGUGUAGCGGUGAAAUGCGUAGAUAUCAGGAAGAAUACCAGUGGCGAAGGCGGUUUGCUGGCUGCAUACUGACGCUGAAGCGCGAAAGCCAGGGGAGCAAACGGGAUUAGAUACCCCGGUAGUCCUGGCAGUAAACGAUGUAUGCUGGGUGUGAGACUAGCGAUAGUUUCGUGCCGAAGUUAACGCGAUAAGCAUACCGCCUGGGGAGUACGGUCGCAAGAUUGAAACUCAAAUGAAUUGGCGGGG
rnacentral:rRNA from 1 species